rnacentral:lncRNA from 1 species
GGACCGUGAAAUUGGGGUAAAAUCUCUAAUUUGGCAUUAAAAUUAGAAAGAUCAUAUCAUAGGGAACAUGUGUACCAAGUUUGAAGUCAAUUGGACUUCAACUUCAUCAAAAACUACCUUGACCAAAAACUUUAACUUGAAGCGGGACAGACGGACGAACGAACGGACGAACGGACAGACGAACGGACGGACGAACGGACGCACAGACCAGAAAACAUAAUGCCCCUCUACUAUCGUAGGUGGGGCAUAAAAA